rnacentral:ribozyme from 13 species
AUGCCGAUCAUGCGAAAAAAAAAAAAAAAAAAAAAAAAAAAAAAAAAAAAAA